GGAGAGGUGCAGGGAAUGGCUAUCCGGACAGUCCCGAAAACUGUUACCCCGCAAGGGGUUUGUGGGUUCGAGUCCCACCCUCUCCG
rnacentral:tRNA from 1 species